rnacentral:rRNA from 1 species
UACACAUGCAAGUCGAGGGGUAUAUGUCUUCGGAUAUAGAGACCGGCGCACGGGUGCGUAACGCGUAUGCAAUCUACCUUUCACAGAGGGAUAGCCCAGAGAAAUUUGGAUUAAUACCUCAUAGUAUUAUUGAGUGGCAUCACUUAAUAAUUAAAGUCACAACGGUGAAAGAUGAGCAUGCGUCCCAUUAGCUAGUUGGUAAGGUAACGGCUUACCAAGGCAACGAUGGGUAGGGGUCCUGAGAGGGAGAUCCCCCACACUGGUACUGAGACACGGACCAGACUCCUACGGGAGGCAGCAGUGAGGAAUAUUGGACAAUGGGCGCAAGCCUGAUCCAGCCAUGCCGCGUGCAGGAUGACGGUCCUAUGGAUUGUAAACUGCUUUUGUACGAGAAGAAACACUGCUUCGUGAAGCAGCUUGACGGUAUCGUAAGAAUAAGGAUCGGCUAACUCCGUGCCAGCAGCCGCGGUAAUACGGAGGAUCCAAGCGUUAUCCGGAAUCAUUGGGUUUAAAGGGUCCGUAGGCGGUUUAGUAAGUCAGUGGUGAAAGCCCAUCGCUCAACGGUGGAACGGCCAUUGAUACUGCUGAACUUGAAUUAUUAGGAAGUAACUAGAAUAUGUAGUGUAGCGGUGAAAUGCUUAGAGAUUACAUGGAAUACCAAUUGCGAAGGCAGGUUACUACUAAUUGAUUGACGCUGAUGGACGAAAGCGUGGGGAGCGAACAGGAUUAGAUACCCUGGUAGUCCACGCCGUAACGAUGGAUACUAGCUGUUGGGAGCAAUCUCAGUGGCUAAGCGAAAGUGAUAAGUAUCCCACCUGGGGAGUACGUUCGCAAGAAUGAAACUCA